rnacentral:misc_RNA from 1 species
GAUGAAGAACGUAGCGAAAUGCGAUACGUAAUGUGAAUUGCAGAAUUCAGUGAAUCAUCGAAUCUUUGAACGCAUAUUGCGCUCUCUGGUAUUCCGGAGAGCAUGCUUGUUUGAGUAUCAGUAAACACCUCAACUUCCAUAUCUUUUUUGAAAUGGGAGUUGGACUUGAGUGAUCCCAACGCUUUUCCUCACCGAAAAGUGGCGGGUUACUUGAAAUGCAGGUGCAGCUGGACUUUUCUCUGAGCUAUAAGCAUAUCUAUUUAGUCUGCCUAAAAACAGAUUAUUACCUUUGCUGCAGCUAACAUAAAGGAGAUUAGUUCUUGUGCUGACUGAUGCAGGAUUCACCAAGACAGGCUUCGGCCGACUUUGUAAACUCGAUCUCAAAUCAAGUAAGACUACCCGCUGAACUUAAGCAUAUCAAUAAGCGGAGGA